AACGCACCUUGCGCCCCGUGGUAUUCCGUGGGGCAUGCCUGUUUGAGUGUCAUGUUAACCCUCGCCCCUGCGGUGUCAAAGCCGCUCGGGUGGACUUGGACGUUGCCGUAGCCGGCUCGUCUUGAAAUGCAUUAGCUUUGCGCCCAUUGGUGUGCUCGGUGCUGCCGUGAUAAUUUCCUCGGCUCGCCUUAGGCCACCUCCAGCGACGCUGCUUCCAACCGUCCCUCGCAGACAAAAGACACAUAAAGCUUUGGCCUCAAAUCAGGUAGGACUACCCGCUGAACUUAA
rnacentral:misc_RNA from 1 species